UCCGGUUUGUCACCGGCAGUCUGAAGUGAGUCCCCAACUUAAUGCUGGCAACAUGCGACGAGGGUUGCGCUCGUUGCGGGACUUAACCCAACAUCUCACGACACGAGCUGACGACAGCCAUGCACCACCUGUGAUAGUGCCCCGAAGGGAGGGUGUGUUUCCACACCUGUCACUAACAUGUCAAACCCAGGUAAGGUUCUUCGCGUUGCGUCGAAUUAAACCACAUGCUCCGCUGCUUGUGCGGGGCCCCGUCAAUUCCUUUGAGUUUUAGCCUUGCGGCCGUACUCCCCAGGCGGGGUGCUUAAUGCGUUAGCUUCGGCACGGAGGGAGUCGACACCCCCCACACCUAGCACCCAUCGUUUACGGCGUGGACUAC
rnacentral:misc_RNA from 1 species